CUUUACUGUAACCAAAAAUUGAUUAUUAAUUUUAUCUGCGCAGAAUAGGUGGGAGACUAUGAAAUUAUCUCUUUGGGGAUAAUAGAGUCGUAAUGUGAGAUACCACUCUGAUAAAAUUUAUAAUCUAAAUUUAUUCCGUUAACCGGGUAAAAGACAGUUUUUGGUGGACAGUUUGACUGGGGCGGUCACCUCCUAAAGAGUAACGGAGGUGUACAAAGGUUUUCUCAAAUCGGUCAGAAAUCGAUUGAAGAGUGCAAAAAUAUAAGAAAGCUUAACUGUGAGACAAACAAGUCAAACAGAGACGAAAGUCGGUUUUAGUGAUCUGACGCUGCUGUGUGGAAAGGGCGUCACUCAACGGAUAAAAGUUA
rnacentral:rRNA from 1 species